GGUGUCAUAUCCCCCUUCGUCUCUCUUCUCUGUUCUCUCUCGUCACUCUCUUCUCUGUUCUCUCGUCGCUCUCACCUCUCUCGCCGCCUUCCCUGCGCUCACUUCGCCGGUGGCAGAAGAAGACGGAACCAGCAUCUUAUCCCUCGGGUGGCGGUCGUCUUCGUCUUCUUGUUUCGGCCAUUAAUUCAGUUG